UCUUCGUCUCUGUGCGUCAGUGAGUACGUGUUUUAAACCACAGCUCUUCUGUUGUGUUCACAGUUUGAUGGGCUCAGGAGGAACAGCAUAGGGGUGUAUAGAAAGAAGUAUGUCUCCAUGGCUGUUGCCUCUACCUCUCUGGCUAUACCCUGUGUCCUGUCGUGCUCAGACUCCAACACCAGCAAUGGGACGUGCCCCGUGGCCCCUGUUCCUCCGCUCAGCCCUGUCGAAGUUGAGAAGGCCGCCACCACCAUCCAGUCCCAUUUCAGGAAGUUCCAACAGAAGAAACACAAGAACGGCAAGUAGAUGGACAAAGAGAGACGGUGAGACACAACAGGAAGCAAGUGGGGACGUAUGUGGAUUCACCAAACGAUGGAUGAACUGAUUCUGUGAUGACAUACAAAAAUGCAUGUAUACACUCAUAUGCAAAUAUACAUACAUUCAAACUGUAAGAAAAACAGUGAGUAGAGCUCCCGGAUUAGUUACACAGUUUAAACAAUAACAUACAGUGAUAGAUUACAUCUCAAAGAGCUACAUGUAAUGCCCUAUUUAAAAUUCUAUGUGAAAAUACUGUGGAUCUGAAUGCACGUGUGUUUGUGAGCGACCGUUGAGCGUACUGUAUUUAUAUAUGACCAGUGUUUUGAGUAUGUAAAUAUGAAAAUGAAUAAUCAAAUAAUUUGUCAACAUUGUGGAUCUUUCAAAAACAAACACUUUGAAUAAACUCCUCUGUAAGCCUG